UAGAGUUUGAUCCUGGCUCAGGAUGAACGCUAGCUACAGGCUUAACACAUGCAAGUCGAGGGGAAACGGCAUUGAGUGCUUGCACUCUUCGGACGUCGACCGGCGCACGGGUGAGUAACGCGUAUCCAAUCUUCCCAUUACUGUGGGAUAACCUGCCGAAAGGCAGACUAAUACCGCAUGGUCUUCGAUGACGGCAUCAGAUUUGAAGUAAAGAUUUAUCGGUAAUGGAUGGGGAUGCGUCUGAUUAGCUUGUUGGCGGGGUAACGGCCCACCAAGGCGACGAUCAGUAGGGGUUCUGAGAGGAAGGUCCCCCACAUUGGAACUGAGACACGGUCCAAACUCCUACGGGAGGCAGCAGUGAGGAAUAUUGGUCAAUGGACGUAAGUCUGAACCAGCCAAGUAGCGUGCAGGAUGACGGCCCUAUGGGUUGUAAACUGCUUUUGUAUGGGGAUAAAGUCAAUCACGUGUGAUUGUUUGCAGGUACCAUACGAAUAAGGACCGGCUAAUUCCGUGCCAGCAGCCGCGGUAAUACGGAAGGUCCAGGCGUUAUCCGGAUUUAUUGGGUUUAAAGGGAGCGUAGGCCGGAGAUUAAGUGUGUUGUGAAAUGUAGACGCUCAACGUCUGACUUGCAGCGCAUACUGGUUUCCUUGAGUACGCACAACGUUGGCGGAAUUCGUCGUGUAGCGGUGAAAUGCUUAGAUAUGACGAAGAACUCCGAUUGCGAAGGCAGCUGACGGGAGCGCAACUGACGCUUAAGCUCGAAGGUGCGGGUAUCAAACAGGAUUAGAUACCCUGGUAGUCCGCACAG
rnacentral:rRNA from 1 species